rnacentral:rRNA from 1 species
UAUUUGGCGAGGUCGCAGUACGCAGUCGCCUGUUUCGGCGGAGCGGCGGACGGGUGAGUAACGCGUGGGAACGUGCCCUUUAUUCAAAUAGCCCUGAAACGGUGAGUAAUACUGGUCCCCUUCGGGGAAAGAUUUAUCGCUAAAGGAUCGCCCGCGUUGGAUUAGCUGUGGGGGGUAAUGGCCUACCAAGGCGACGAUCUAUUGGUCUGAAGGAUGAUCACCCAGGGACUGAACACGGCCCAACUCCUACGGGAGGCAGCAGGGGAAUAUUGGACAGGGGGCMCCCUGAUCCACCAUGCCGCGGAGUGAAAAGGCCCUAGGGUUGUAAAGCUCUUUCAAUGUGGGAUGAUGACAGUAGCAUCAAAAAGCACCGGCUAACUUCGUGCCAGCAGCCGCGGUAAUACAAGGGUGCUAGCGUUGUUCGAAUUACUGGGCGUAAAGGGCGUGUAGGCGGAUGAUCAAGCUAGGGGUGAAAGCCCAGGCCCAACCCUGGAACUGCCUUUAGAACUGAUUGUCUAGAAUCCGUAGGGGAGUGUGGAAUUCCUAGUGUAGAGGUGAAAUUCGUAGAUAUUAGGAAGAACACCAGUGGCGAAGGCGGCCUCUGGUACGGUAUUGACGCUGAGGCGCGAAAGCGUGGGGAGCAAACAGGAUUAGAUACCCUGGUAGUCCACGCCGUAACGAUGUCUGCUCCGUUGGACACUUAGUGUUGGGUGGCGCCGCUAACGCAUUAAGCAGACCGCCUGGGGAGUACGGUCGCAAGAUUAAAACUCAAGGAAUUGACGGGGGCCCGCACAAGCGGUGGAGCAUGUGGUUUAAUUCGAAGCAACGCGCAGAACUUACCAGCCUUGACAUCCUAGGACCACUCCAGAGAUGGAGCUUCCUUCGGGACCUAGUGACGGCUGCAUGCUGUCGUCAGCUCGUGUCGUGAGAUGUUGGUAAGUCCCGCAACGAGCGCAACCCUAUCGUUAGUUGCCAGCAUGCCUCUAGCAGACUGCCGGUGAAGCGGGGGUGACGAGUCCAUUUGGCUGUACCGACACAAAGGA